GACGAACGCUGGCGGCGUGCUUAACACAUGCAAGUCGAACGAUGAUGCCCAGCUUGCUGGGUGGAUUAGUGGCGAACGGGUGAGUAACACGUGAGUAACCUGCCCCUGACUCUGGGAUAAGCGUUGGAAACGACGUCUAAUACUGGAUAUGACUGCCGGCCGCAUGGUCUGGUGGUGGAAAGAUUUUUUGGUUGGGGAUGGACUCGCGGCCUAUCAGCUUGUUGGUGAGGUAAUGGCUCACCAAGGCGACGACGGGUAGCCGGCCUGAGAGGGUGACCGGCCACACUGGGACUGAGACACGGCCCAGACUCCUACGGGAGGCAGCAGUGGGGAAUAUUGCACAAUGGGCGAAAGCCUGAUGCAGCAACGCCGCGUGAGGGAUGACGGCCUUCGGGUUGUAAACCUCUUUUAGUAGGGAAGAAGCGUAAGUGACGGUACCUGCAGAAAAAGCACCGGCUAACUACGUGCCAGCCGCCGCCGUAACAC
rnacentral:rRNA from 1 species